UGUUGCGGUGAAUACGUUCCCGGGUCUUGUACACACCGCCCGUCAAACCAUGAAAGUGACCAACACCCGAAGUCCGAUUCGUCGGCCUAGGGUGGGGGGCAUGAUUGGGGUU
rnacentral:rRNA from 1 species